rnacentral:rRNA from 1 species
AGCCGCGGUAACACCGGCGGCCCGAGUGGUGAUCGUGGUUAUUGGGUCUAAAGGGUCCGUAGCCGGUUUGGUCAGUCCUCCGGGAAAUCUGAUAGCUCAACUAUUAGGCUUUCGGGGGAUACUGCCAGACUUGGAACCGGGAGAGGUAAGAGGUACUACAGGGGUAGGAGUGAAAUCUUGUAAUCCCUGUGGGACCACCUGUGGCGAAGGCGUCUUACCAGAACGGGUUCGACGGUGAGGGACGAAAGCUGGGGGCACGAACCGGAUUAGAUACCCGGGUAGUCCCAGCCGUAAACGAUGCUCGCUAGGUGUCAGGCAUGGCGCGACCGUGUCUGGUGCCGCAGGGAAGCCGUGAAGCGAGCCACCUGGGAAGUACGGCCGCAAGGCUGAAACUUAAAGGAAUUGGCGGGGGAGCACAACAACGGGUGGAGCCCUGCGGUUUAAUUGGACUCAACGCCGGACAACUCACCGGGGGCGACAGCAAUAUGUAGGCCAAGCUGAAGACUUUGCCUGAAUCGCUGAGAAGAGGUGCAUGG